rnacentral:rRNA from 1 species
UACGAAGGGUGCAAGCGUUACUCGGAAUUACUGGGCGUAAAGCGUGCGUAGGUGGUUCGUUAAGUCUGAUGUGAAGGCCCUGGGCUCAACCUGGGAAUGGCAUUGGAAACUGGCGACCUAGAGUGCGGUAGAGGGUAGUGGAAUUCCCGGUGUAGCAGUGAAAUGCGUAGAGAUCGGGAGGAACAUCUGUGGCGAAGGCGACUGCCUGGACCAGCACUGACACUGAGGCACGAAAGCGUGGGGAGCAAACAGG